UACGGGGGGAGCAAGCGUUGUUCGGAUUUACUGGGCGUAAAGGGCGCGUAGGCGGCCAGCGCAAGUCAGUUGUGAAAUCUCCGGGCUUAACUCGGAACGGUCAACUGAUACUGCGCGGCUAGAGUGCAGAAGGGGCAACUGGAAUUCUCGGUGUAGCGGUGAAAUGCGUAGAUAUCGAGAGGAACACCUGAGGUGAAGACGGGUUGCUGGGCUGACACUGACGCUGAGGCGCGAAAGCCAGGGGAGCAAACGGG
rnacentral:rRNA from 1 species